AGAGUUUGAUCCUGGCUCAGAGUGAACGCUGGCGACGUGGUUAAGACAUGCAAGUCGAGCGGUUGUAGCAAUACAACGAGCGGCAAACGGGUGCGUAACACGUGAGAAACUUGCCUUAAAGUAGGGAAUAGCUCAGGGAAACUUGAAUUAAUACCUUAUGUGGUGGUGGUCGGCAUCGAUCAUUUACUAAAGCUUGUGAUGGCGCUUUAAGAGAGUCUCGCGGCCUAUCAGCUAGUUGGCGGGGUAGUAGCCCACCAAGGCAAAGACGGGUAGCUGGUCUGAGAGGAUGAUCAGCCACAUUGGAACUGAGACACGGUCCAAACACCUACGGGUGGCAGCAGUUUCGAAUCAUUCACAAUGGGGGCAACCCUGAUGGUGCGACGUCGCGUGGAGGAUGACUGUCCUCGGAUUGUAAACUCCUGUCAAAAGGGACUAAUGAUAUGGUUUGUAGCCAUAUUUGAAUUAACCUUUAGAGGAAGCAGUGGCUAACUCUGUGCCAGCAGCCGCGGUAAUACAGAGACUGCAAGCGUUACUCGGAUUCACUGGGCGUAAAGGGAGCGCAGGCGGUUUGGUGUGUCAGGUGUGAAAUUCCGGGGCUUAACUUCGGAGCUGCGCCUGAAACUAUUAGACUAGAGAUUCGGAGGGGUAAGCGGAAUUCUUGGUGGAGCAGUGAAAUGCGUAGAUAUCAAGAGGAACACCAAAGGCGAAGGCAGCUUACUGGCCGACAUCCGACGCUCAGGCUCGAAGGUAUGGGUAGCAAAAGGGAUUAGAUACCCCUGUAGUCCAUACUGUAAACGAUGCAGAACUAAGUCUUGUGGCAUUCGACCGCCUCAGGACAUAAGCGAACGCGAUAAGUCUACCGCCUGAGGACUACGGGUCGCCAAGACUAAAACUCAAAAGGAAUUGACGGGGGCCCGCACAAGCGGUGGAGCAUGUGGCUUAAUUCGAUGCAACGCGAAGAACCUUACCUAGACUUGACAUUGACUUGAAAUACUGAUGAAAGUUAGUAUGUCUUCGGACAAGUUAACAGGUGCUGCAUGGCUGUCGUCAGCUCGUGUCGUGAGAUGUUCGGUUAAGUCCGGCAACGAGCGCAACCCUCGCUUCUAGUUACCAUCAUUUAGUUGGGGACUCUAGAGGGACUACCCCUUUUGGGGAGGAAGGUGGGGAUGACGUCAAGUCAGUAUGGCCCUUACGUCUAGGGCUGCACACGUGCUACAAUGCAUUAUACAAAGGGAUGCAAUAUCGUGAGAUGGAGCCAAUCCUUAAAAUAGUGCCCAGUUCAGAUUGUAGUCUGCAAUUCGACUACAUGAAGUCGGAAUCGCUAGUAAUGGCGCAUCAGCUAUGGCGCCGUGAAUACGUAACCGGGCCUUGCACACACCGCCCGUCA
rnacentral:rRNA from 1 species